CAGUCGCCACGGUAAAACGAAGGGGGCUAGCGUUGCUCGGAAUCACUGGGCGUAAAGGGUGCGUAGGCGGAUUUCUAAGUCAGGGGUGAAAUCCUGGAGCUCAACUCCAGAACUGCCCUUGAUACUGGAAGUCUUGAGUAUGGGAGAGGUGAGUGGAACUGCGAGUGUAGAGGUGAAAUUCGUAGAUAUUCGCAAGAACACCAGUGGCGAAGGCGGCUCACUGGCCCAUAACUGACGCUGAGGCACGAAAGCGUGGGGAGCAAACAGGAUUAGAUACCCCUGUAGUCCCUGUCUCUUAUAC
rnacentral:rRNA from 1 species